rnacentral:ncRNA from 1 species
AACAAAGCUUUGAACCGGAAUAGUACCAUGGAUGUCCGUCCAAGCGAGCCCGGGGUCGGUGCGACCGGGUGACGGCUCCGUGCGAAUGGACCGGCGAGCGACGCCAAUCCCGUCCGCCGACCGCGUUAAAGGUCCCAAGCGCCGGUUCUUCAUGGACCGGAAUCAAGGUGGUACCGCGUCUUCGACGUCCUUCCG